rnacentral:rRNA from 1 species
CUUCGGGCUUAGUGGCGAACGGGUGAGUAACGCGUGGGAACCUGCCCCCGAGUGGAGAACAACCGCUGGAAACGGUGGCUAAUACCGCAUACGCCUCUUCGGAGGGAAAGCUUUAUGCGCUCAGGGAGGGUCCCGCGUCCGAUUAGCUAGUUGGAGAGGUAACGGCUCACCAAGGCGACGAUCGGUAGCUGGUCUGAGAGGAUGAUCAGCCACACUGGGACUGAGACACGGCCCAGACUCCUACGGGAGGCAGCAGUGGGGAAUAUUGGACAAUGGGGGCAACCCUGAUCCAGCAAUGCCGCGUGCGUGAAGAAGGCCUUAGGGUUGUAAAGCGCUUUCACCCGUGACGAUGAUGACGGUAGCGGGAGAAGAAGCCCCGGCUAACUCCGUGCCAGCAGCCGCGGUAAUACGGAGGGGGCGAGCGUUGUUCGGAAUUACUGGGCGUAAAGGGCGCGUAGGCGGCUCUAUCAGUCAGACGUGAAAGCCCCGGGCUCAACCUG